UACGUAGGGUGCAAGCGUUAAUCGGAAUUACUGGGCGUAAAGCGUGCGCAGGCGGUUUUGUAAGUCUGACGUGAAAUCCCCGGGCUCAACCUGGGAACUGCAUUGGUGACUGCACGGCUAGAGUGUGUCAGAGGGGGGUAGAAUUCCACGUGUAGCAGUGAAAUGCGUAGAGAUGUGGAGGAAUACCGAUGGCGAAGGCAGCCCCCUGGGUCAAGAUUGACGCUCAUGCACGAAAGCGUGGGGAGCAAACAGG
rnacentral:rRNA from 1 species